ACUAAAAUGGCAGAAGUAAGUGCAAUAGAGUUAAGAUCUAUAAAUAAAAUAAUAUUUUUUUUAGUU
rnacentral:tRNA from 1 species